rnacentral:rRNA from 1 species
GACGAACGCUGGCGGCGUGCUUAACACAUGCAAGUCGAACGGAAAGGCCCUGCUUUUGUGGGGUGCUCGAGUGGCGAACGGGUGAGUAACACGUGAGUAACCUGCCCUUGACUUUGGGAUAACUUCAGGAAACUGGGGCUAAUACCGGAUAGGAGCUCCUGCUGCAUGGUGGGGGUUGGAAAGUUUCGGCGGUUGGGGAUGGACUCGCGGCUUAUCAGCUUGUUGGUGGGGUAGUGGCUUACCAAGGCUUUGACGGGUAGCCGGCCUGAGAGGGUGACCGGCCACAUUGGGACUGAGAUACGGCCCAGACUCCUACGGGAGGCAGCAGUGGGGAAUAUUGCACAAUGGGCGGAAGCCUGAUGCAGCAACGCCGCGUGCGGGAUGACGGCCUUCGGGUUGUAAACCGCUUUCGCCUGUGACGAAGCGUGAGUGACGGUAAUGGGUAAAGAAGCACCGGCUAACUACGUGCCAGCAGCCGCGGUGAUACGUAGGGUGCGAGCGUUGUCCGGAUUUAUUGGGCGUAAAGGGCUCGUAGGUGGUUGAUCGCGUCGGAAGUGUAAUCUUGGGGCUUAACCCUGAGCGUGCUUUCGAUACGGGUUGACUUGAGGAAGGUAGGGGAGAAUGGAAUUCCUGGUGGAGCGGUGGAAUGCGCAGAUAUCAGGAGGAACACCAGUGGCGAAGGCGGUUCUCUGGGCCUUUCCUGACGCUGAGGAGCGAAAGCGUGGGGAGCGAACAGGCUUAGAUACCCUGGUAGUCCACGCUGUAAACGGUGGGUACUAGGUGUGGGGUCCAUUCCACGGGUUCCGUGCCGUAGCUAACGCUUUAAGUACCCCGCCUGGGGAGUACGGCCGCAAGGCUAAAACUCAAAGGAAUUGACGGGGCCCCGCACAAGCGGCGGAGCAUGCGGAUUAAUUCGAUGCAACGCGUAGAACCUUACCUGGGUUUGACAUGGAUCGGGAGUGCUCAGAGAUGGGUGUGCCUCUUUUGGGGUCGGUUCACAGGUGGUGCAUGGCUGUCGUCAGCUCGUGUCGUGAGAUGUUGGGUUAAGUCCCGCAACGAGCGCAACCCUUGUUCACUGUUGCCAGCACGUUAUGGUGGGGACUCAGUGGAGACCGCCGGGGACAACUCGGAGGAAGGUGGGGAUGACGUCAAGUCAUCAUGCCCCUUAUGUCCAGGGCUUCACGCAUGCUACAAUGGCUGGUACAGAGAGUGGCGAGCCUGUGAGGGUGAGCGAAUCUCGGAAAGCCGGUCUCAGUUCGGAUUGGGGUCUGCAACUCGACCUCAUGAAGUCGGAGUCGCUAGUAAUCGCAGAUCAGCAACGCUGCGGUGAAUACGUUCCCGGG